GCCGCGGUAUUUUGACCGUGCGAAGGUAGCAUAAUAAAUAGUCCAUUAAAUGUGGUCUGGAAUGAAAGGUUUAACGAGGAAUAACUUUUUUAACUUUAUUUAUGAAUUUUAAUUAUUAGUGAAAAUGCUAAUAUGAUUGAGGGGGACGAGAAGACCCUAUAGAGCUUUAUAUAAACGAAUAUGUGGUGGUAUAGGAUUAUUUUAUUAUAUUUUGUUGGGGCGACAGUGAAUUAAAAUCAUUCAUUUUAUUGGACUAUUAUAUUAAAUUAUUUGAUCCAUUAAUAUUGAUUAUUAGACUUAGUUACCUUAGGGAUAACAGCGUAAUUUUAUUUUAAAGUUCUUAUCGAUGAUAAAGUUUGCGACCUCGAUGUUGGAUUAAAAUUCUUUUAGGGGGCAGCAAUUCUAUGAAGUAGUCUGUUCGACUAUUUAAUUCUUACAUGAUCUGAGUC
rnacentral:rRNA from 1 species